AUGCCAUUUCUAGAGCUGGACAUGAAUUUGCUUGCAAACUGAGUGCCCAUGGGGCUGGAGAAAUGGCUCUGCAAUGCCACUGCCUCCAUCCUGGGCAAACCUGCGGACCACAUGAACGUGACUGUCUGGCUGGGCCUGGCCCUGGCGCUGAGUGGGUUCACUGAGCCCUGUGCACAGCCGUCCAUCUCCUCCAUUGGCAUAGUGGGCGCCUCCGAGGACCACCGCAACCACAGCGCCCACUUCUUUGAGUUUCUCACCAAGGGGCUAGCUCCAGAGCAGGACAGGAUAAUUAUCUGCUUUUUACCCCUGGAGCCCUGGCAGAUUGGCAAGAAAGGGACAGUCAUGACAUUUUUAUGAUUGGCACAGAGGGAUCCAGGGCAUCUGUGAGCUGGCUACCUCUUCCAGGAAUACCUCUUUGCAGAGUGAGGGCCUGGUGAUACCAGCUUCAGAUAAUCCUGCAUGCAACAUUCCUGUGAUCACAUAAUCCUCUUCUUCAUCCUCAUACAAAAUAAAUGAAGAGAGCUUCCUCAUUCAAAAAAAAAAAAAAAA